rnacentral:rRNA from 1 species
UACGUAGGGGGCUAGCGUUGUCCGGAAUCAUUGGGCGUAAAGAGCGUGUAGGCGGCCCGGUAAGUCCGCUGUGAAAGUCGGGGGCUCAACCCUCGAAUGCCGGUGGAUACUGUCGGGCUAGAGUGCGGAAGAGGCGAGUGGAAUUCCUGAUGUAGCGGUGAAAUGCGCAGAUAUCAGGAGGAACACCGAUUGCGAAGGCAGCUCGCUGGGACGUAACUGACGCUGAGACGCGAAAGCGUGGGGAGCAAACAGG